rnacentral:rRNA from 1 species
UAACACAUGCAAGUCGAACGAGAGAGAGGGAGCUUGCUUCCUCAAUCGAGUGGCGAACGGGUGAGUAACGCGUGAGGAACCUGCCUCAAAGAGGGGGACAACAGUUGGAAACGACUGCUAAUACCGCAUAAGCCCACGGCUCGGCAUCGAGCAGAGGGAAAAGGAGCAAUCCGCUUUGAGAUGGCCUCGCGUCCGAUUAGCUAGUUGGUGAGGUAAUGGCCCACCAAGGCAACGAUCGGUAGCCGGACUGAGAGGUUGAACGGCCACAUUGGGACUGAGACACGGCCCAGACUCCUACGGGAGGCAGCAGUGGGGAAUAUUGCACAAUGGGGGAAACCCUGAUGCAGCGACGCCGCGUGGAGGAAGAAGGUCUUCGGAUUGUAAACUCCUGUUAUUGAGGAAGAUAAUGACGGUACUCAACAAGGAAGUGACGGCUAACUACGUGCCAGCAGCCGCGGUAAAACGUAGGUCACAAGCGUUGUCCGGAAUUACUGGGUGUAAAGGGAGCGCAGGCGGGAAGACAAGUUGGAAGUGAAAUCUAUGGGCUCAACCCAUAAACUGCUUUCAAAACUGUUUUUCUUGAGUAGUGCAGAGGUAGGCGGAAUUCCCGGUGUAGCGGUGGAAUGCGUAGAUAUCGGGAGGAACACCAGUGGCGAAGGCGGCCUACUGGGCACCAACUGACGCUGANGCUCGAAAGUGUGGGUAGCAAACAGGAUUAGAUACCCUGGUAGUCCACACCGUAAACGAUGAUUACUAGGUGUUGGAGGAUUGACCCCUUCAGUGCCGCAGUUAACACAAUAAGUAAUCCACCUGGGGAGUACGACCGCAAGGUUGCAACUCAAAUGAAUUGA